AGAUCCCAUGGCGUAUAUUAAAGUUGUUGUGGGUGAAAAGCUCGUAGUUGGACUCUUGCUGAGGACGGCCUGUCCGCCCUCUGGGUGGUUUUCUGGCUUGGCCUGGGCAUCCUCUUGGAGAACGUAGCUGCCCUUGAUUGUGUGUUGCAGUAUCCAGGACUUUUACUUUGAGGGAAUUAGAGCCUUUCACGCAGGCAUGCACCUUGAAUACAUUCGCAUGGAAUAGUAAGAUAGGUCCUUGGUUCUAUUCUUCUGGUUUCUAGAGCUGAGGUAAUGAUUCAUAGGGAUAGUUGGGGGCAUUCGUAUUAGAUUGUCAGCGGUGAAAUUGUUGGAUUUGUCAAAGAGGGACUACUGCACAAGCAUUUGCUAAGGAUGCUUUUCA
rnacentral:rRNA from 1 species